rnacentral:rRNA from 1 species
CACCGCGGUUAUACGAGAGGCCCAAGUUGACAAAAACCGGCGUAAAAAGUGGUUAAUAAUUUUUAAACUAAAGCCGAACACCUUCGAUACUGUCAUACGUGACCGAAGGCAGGAAGACCUCCAACGAAAGUGACUUUAACCCAAUAUGAACCCACGAAAGCUAGGAUA